rnacentral:rRNA from 1 species
CCUACGGGAGGCAGCAGUGGGGAAUAUUGGACAAUGGGCGAAAGCCUGAUCCAGCCAUGCCGCGUGUGUGAAGAAGGCCUUCGGGUUGUAAAGCACUUUCAGUGGGGAAGAAAGCCUUGGGGCUAAUACCCUCGAGGAAGGACAUCACCCACAGAAGAAGCACCGGCUAACUCCGUGCCAGCAGCCGCGGUAAUACGGAGGGUGCGAGCGUCAAUCGGAAUUACUGGGCGUAAAGCGCGCGUAGGCGGUCUGAUAAGCCGGUUGUGAAAGCCCCGGGCUCAACCUGGGAACGGCAUCCGGAACUGUCAGGCUAGAGUGCAGGAGAGGAAGGUAGAAUUCCCGGUGUAGCGGUGAAAUGCGUAGAGAUCGGGAGGAAUACCAGUGGCGAAGGCGGCCUUCUGGACUGACACUGACGCUGAGGUGCGAAAGCGUGGGUAGCAAACAGGAUUAGAUACCCUUGUAGUC